CCUACGGGAGGCAGCAGUCGAGAAUCAUUCACAAUGGGGGAAACCCUGAUGGUGCGACGCUGCGUGGGGGAAUGAAGGUCUUCGGAUUGUAAACCCCUGUCAUGUGGGAGCAAAUUAAAAAGAUAGUACCACAAGAGGAAGAGACGGCUAACUCUGUGCCAGCAGCCGCGGUAAUACAGAGGUCUCAAGCGUUGUUCGGAAUCACUGGGCGUAAGGCGUGCGUAGGCUGUUUCGUAAGUCGUGUGUGAAAGGCGCGGGCUCAACCCGCGGACGGCACAUGAUACUGCGAGACUAGAGUAAUGGAGGGGGAACCGGAAUUCUCGGUGUAGCAGUGAAAUGCGUAGAUAUCGAGAGGAACACUCGUGGCGAAGGCGGGUUCCUGGACAUUAACUGACGCUGAGGCACGAAGGCCAGGGGAGCGAAAGGGAUUAGAUACCCUUGUAGUC
rnacentral:rRNA from 1 species